rnacentral:lncRNA from 1 species
UAGUGGCAGCGGCUUUUACUCAUUACCGGGCUGGUCUAGUUUAUCUCAAGUGGCGGGACCUGGAAGGUUGCUAAAAGAAUUAGUUGGAAGAUGAACCAGCAAGGAACUAAGGAAGGUGUCUGCUUGUUCAUGUUUAGGUUAUGUUUUAGGGUUGCUAAAUAAAUGUGGUCUGCAACUGAUGGCAGCCCUUGGUAUAAUGUGAAACCUUCUCAUUGUCAUCACAUACCCCGUGUCAUUGUCUGUAGGGUAUAUUUGUAUGGCAUUUAAAAUAUACAUUAAUGUAUAAUCUGUAGAUGUUGGGGAAACAGUGGAAGAUUAUAGAAGCAAAAGGUUAGCUGAAAGUAGUUAAAAUGUUUAUUGGGAUGGGUAAAUAUAUACUAUCCACUUCUUACGAGGGAUAAAUUACUUUUUGUUCAUUAUACUGUGGUUCGGUUUUUAUUGUGGUUAUCGAAAUUUUUUUUAUUACACUCGAAUAACUGUACUAUCAAAAAUUAUAAAAUGGUCAUUUUUUACGAUUUCCGUCCAAAAAAUGGACGGAAGUGCUGAGUUGGCAUACACGUGAUUUUUAAAUGCUGAUGUGUACAUAUUAUUAUUAAUUUUUAAAUAAUAGUAAUAAAAUAUUACAGCCAGUGUAUUUAUACCCUCUCUGUUCCAUAAUUAGACGCAAUAUUCAAUUUUUGAAAUUAAUCAAAAGAUUUUGGUCCAAUGGUUUAUCUCACCAUUGUUUUCCAAGAGGUUCAGGGUUCAGAAACUCCUUUCUUGUUGAAUGUACAUGUCCAUAAUAAAUUACUACCAACGUUGCGAUAAAAUAUAAUAAAUUAAAAUAAAAAAUUUCUUAAUUCAUAAUUAUAAUUUAACUAAAAACUUUUGAACUGUACAACAUGACUUCUGUAAUGUUUACCAUCAAGGAAAAAAAAAGAUGAAUUUAUUUUAGCUACUAAAUUAUAAAAUAAAAUUAUUUAGAAACACAUGUUUUGAACCAUUUUAUUAAUGUUUGAGCUUCCUAUUUCGGAAAUACAGAAAGGCUAAUUAAGCCAAAGAUGGUAGACGACGUAUCUGCUUACAAAAAGUUGAAAGGGCAAAAUAAGUUGUUGGGGGCUCCUUUGUCUAUUUUAAAGACUUACAAGCCAUAAGUGAUGGAGCAUCUGCUGUCGCUUUCUAGAAAAGUCGGUAGUUAUCGGCAAAAUCCCAGUACGCGCCAAAUUGGUGACUAAUAUAUGGAUAGCUAGAUAUUAGUAUAUAUUUUUUCUUGGCGGUCCGGCGGUCAUCAACUUGUUUUUUCGAUCUCUUUUGACUUGCAAAAAGUUUGACGAUUCUACUAAUUCAAACGUAUUCAAGAAAUAUGUAACUGAAACAUCUUCUCCUGCAGUAGUAGUCUGCUUAUUUUUAUCUACGGUGUGAUAUAUAUAUAUAUAUAUAUAUAUAUAUAUNNNNNNNNNNNNNNNNNNNNNNNNNNNNNNNNNNNNNNNNNNNNNNNNNNNNNNNNNNNNNNNNNNNNNNNNNNNNNNNNNNNNNNNNNNNNNNNNNNNNAAAGUCUAAACUCAGUCUUUAUGAGAACAAUGUAAAUCUUGGCUCAAUAUAUUGUCAAUAUUUUAAAUUCGUUUUUAGGAUGUGGAAUGUUGCUGUUCAUCAAAUAAUCUCACCGUAGGAGAAAGGUAGAUUGCUUGCCCACACAUAGGAUUGAUGUUGGAUUAGUAGUCUUAAUCCUCUUUAUGUUAAGCAAAUGCUGUUGGGUCGUGUAUGGUGCUCAUUCUCUCUGGAGCAGUUGAUAUAUUUAAUUAUUUUGCUUUUCUCUUGUUUCCUUCUCUCGUAAGUGUUGAUUUUUUCUCAGUUGUUCUUUCUAGCAUUAGUGGCCUCUAUGCUUUUAUUCAUGGGUUGCAAUCUUAAUACAAAAUUUAUAUAUAUUGGAAGUUAAAUAUAUUGGAAGGUCAAAUGUGACCUUAUAGUUCUCUAAUAAGGUACAUGGCCUCUAUGCUUUUAUUCAUGGGUUGUGCUAUGUGCACGUGUACAUGUUUGUAAGGAUGAGAAUUUACUAGUUUUAAUAAUUUUGAGGUGAUAAAGAGACUUGAAAUUGGAAGGUAUUCGGUAAUAUAUUAGAGAACUAUAAGGUCACAUUAUGAAAUAUUUUGAGAUAUUGCCUGUUUGAGACAGUAUCAGGGUGGUAUUAACUUGAAUAUGCAUAGAGUUACAUGAUAAGUGAAUACAAAUUAGAGGGGUUGGACGUGACAUUGAACACAGAGAACUGUUAUGGUUUCUAAAGUUUGAGAUAGUACGGUUGAAGAUUGUUUUCUUAGUAGUUGGAAGUUUACACAAUUUUAUGCAUUCAUAGGAUAUGUGAAAUUCAAAUGUUUAACCGAACUGAGGAAAUUAAAUCCUCAAGUCCCUGGGUAGUACUAUACACUCUGCAUUCCCUAUUAUAAGUUUCUUCAUAUAUUAAUUAAACCCCAGAUAUAGGUUUGCCACAUUUUUUUCAGACUUGAAAAAUAUCACCCUUUACCGCUACAAAAUGUUCUUUAUCCUUCUUUUCUGUUGAAGUUAAACGUGGCUAAUGUAGUUUCACGAUCUGAUUGUAUGCAGCAUAGCAUGAAGGAGGAUGUGGCGAACUUAAUAGCUCCCUUGAUGGUGAGGCCGAUUACCCGGUGGCCGUUCUUUGCCUUCUUGGGUGGGGCCAUGUUUUGCUUGUUAGCUAGCAGCACAUGUCACUUGCUCUCAUGCCACUCGAAGCGUUUGUCUUACAUCAUGCUUAGGCUUGACUAUGCUGGGAUUGCUGCCUUGAUCUCAACCUCCUUCUAUCCUCCUGUUUACUAUUCAUUCAUGUGCUAUCCCUUCUUCUGCAAUCUCUAUAUGGGAUUCAUAACUUUCUUGGGCAUAGCAACCAUCUUAGGUUCCCUCCUUCCAGUGUUUGAUAGACCUGAAUUUCGUACUGUUCGUGCGUCCCUAUUCUUUGGGAUGGGUUUAUCAGGGGUGGCACCCAUUCUGCACAAGCUCAUCUUAUUUUGGAACCAGCCCGAGGCACUUCGUACAACUGGGUAUGAAGUCUUAAUGGGAGUUCUCUAUGGGCUUGGAGCUCUGGUUUAUGCAAUGAGGAUUCCAGAGCGGUGGAUACCAGGGAAAGUCGACAUUGCAGGGCACAGCCACCAGCUAUUUCACGUGCUGGUAGUGGCAGCGGCUUUUACUCAUUACCGUGCUGGUCUAGUUUAUCUCAAGUGGCGGGACUUGGAAGGUUGCUAAAAGAAUUAGUUAGAAGAUGAACCAGCAAGGAAGGUGUCUGCUUGUUCCUGUUUAGGUUAUGUUUAGGGUUGCUACAUAAAUGUGGUCUGCAACUGAUGGCAGCCCUUGGUAUAAUGUAAAACCUUCUCAUUGUCAUCACAUACACCGUGUCUGUAGGGCAUUGAUUUUGAUCUAGGUUGAUAUUUGUAUGGCGUUUAAAAUUUAGCAUUUGACAUAUACAUUAAUGUAUAAUCUGUAGAUGUCGGGGAAACAGUGGAAGAUAAUAGAAGCAAAAGGUUAGCU